rnacentral:lncRNA from 1 species
GUGGCGCAGAAGGUGUGGGCGGAGACCUUUUACUACAUGGCCCAGAACAACGUCAUGUUUGAGGGCAUCCUCCUGAAGCCAAGCAUGGUGACCCCUGGUGCCGAGUGCAAGGACAGGGCCACCCCUGAGGAAGUAGCCAGCUACACCCUCAAGCUCCUCCAGAGAAGGAUCCCCCCUUCCGUCCCCGGCAUCAUGGUGAGCAGAGCACCCUCCCAAACCUAAGUGCACAAUCAUGAAUACGUAUAAGAUUAUGUUGACACGACACUAUACUCAACAACCAAUUUGCAUCGUGACAUAGUAACUAGUAACUCAAAAGUGCAACAAUAGCAUGCCUUGAGAAAUCAACAAAUCAUUAGUUCUGCACAAGCUCACAUCCAAAUUUGUUGUCUCUUUUCUGUGGUGGUGCAGUUCUUGUCUGGUGGACAGUCGGAGGUGGAGGCGACGCUGAACCUGAACGCGAUGAACCAGGCGCCGAACCCGUGGCACGUGUCCUUCUCCUACGCGAGGGCGCUGCAGAACACCUGCCUCAAGACGUGGGGCGGGCGGCCGGAGAACGUCGCGGCAGCGCAGGAGGCGCUGCUGCUGCGCGCCAAGGCCAACUCCCUGGCGCAGCUCGGCAAGUACACCAGCGACGGCGAGGCCGCAGCUGCCAAAGAGAACAUGUUCGUCAAGAACUACAGCUACUGAUCCGUCGGCGAGCUGUCCUAUCUACAUAAUCUACCUACGGAGGGAGAGUGCUAGUAGCGCCUUGAGCAGCUUGAGGGCACCUUAGCCAGCCAGUGUGUCGUCGUUGUUACAGGUCGAGACCAGCUCUGAUGGAAGAGAUGGACGGAGAGCAUAUACUGUGUUUUACCACCCUAAGUAAAAAAA